CAUGCAUGUGUCAGUACAGGCCGCUACUAAGGCUAAACCGCGAAUGGCUCAUUAAAUCAGUUAUGAUUCCCUGGAUCUGAGAUACCCCACUUUACUCGGAUAUCCCUGGCAAUUCUAGAGCUAAUACGUGAAAGCAACAGAUAGCUCCGACUGAGAGGGAGGAGUGCUUUUAUCAGAUUAAGACCAAUCGGGCCUCGGUCCGCCAAACACUAAAUUACCGUGGUGAAUCUGGGUAACUUGCUGCCGAGAGCACGGUCACCGCGCCGGCUCCACAUCUUUCGAGUUUCUGCCUUAUCAUGCUGUGGACUGCAGGCUACGCGCCUAAAGUGGCUGUUACGGGUGACGGAGAAUCAGGGUUCGAUUCCGGAGAGGGAGCCUGAGAAACGGCUACCACAUCCAAGGAAGGCAGCAGGCACGCAAAUUACCCAAUCCCAGCACGGGGAGGUAGUGACGAAAAAUAACGAUGUGCUACUCAUCUGAGUCUGUGCAAUUGGAUUGAGCACACUUUAAAUCCUUUAGCGACAACCGAUUGGAGGGCAAGUCUGGUGCCAGCAGCCGCGGUAAUUCCAGCUCCAAUAGCGUUAGAGUGCUCAAAGCAGGCCCCUUCUAAAAAUGUAACGCCCGAAUUGUACCUGCAUGGAAUAAUGAAAGAUGAUCUCGGUUCCAUUCUGUUGGUUGUUUCCUUGGGAAUCCGAGUUAAUGAUGAAGGGGGACUGCCGGGGGCAUCCGUACUACGACGCGAGAGGUGAAAUUCAGUGACCGUCGUAGGACGAACGACCGCGAAAGCAUUUGCCAAGAAUGUUCUCGUUGAUCAAGAACGAAAGUUAGAGGAUCGAAGGCGAUCAGAUACCGCCCUAGUUCUAACCCUAAACGAUGCUGACCAGCGAUCCGCCGUCGUUAUUCCCAUGACGCGGCGGGCUGCCCCCGGGAAACCUCGAGUCUUUGAGUUCCGGGGGUAGUAUGGUUGCAAAACUGAAACUUAAAAGAAUUGACGGAAGGGCACCACCAGGAGUGGAGCCUGCGGCUUAAUUUGACUCAACACGGGGAAACUCACCAGGCCCGGACACCGGAAGGACUGACAGAUUAAGAGCUCUUUCUCAAUUCGGUGGGUGGUGGUGCAUGGCCGUUCUUAGUUGGUGGAGUGAUUUGUCUGGUUAAUUCCGGUAACGAACGAGACUCUGGCCUGCUAACUAGUCGACGCGGGUCCGGAUGCACGGGCCCCGCUCGACCCAAAAGUCUUCUUAGAGGGAUGAGCGGCGAGUAUAGCCGCAGGAGAUUGAGCAAUAACAGGUCUGUGAUGCCCUUAGAUGUUCUGGGCAGCACGCGCGCUACACUGAACGGAUCAGCGGGUCUCCCUUCUCCGAGAGGAGCGGGAAAUCGCUUGAAACCCGUUCGUGAUAGGGAUUGGGGCUUGCAACUGUUCCCCAUGAACGAGGAAUUCCCAGUAAGCGCGAGUCAUCAGCUCGCGCUGAUUAAGUCCCUGCCCUUUGUACACACCGCCCGUCGCUACUACCGAUUGAAUGAUUUAGUGAGGGCUCCGGACUGGCGGUCUUGGACUCCUGGGUGGCUUGGCGGUCGGCUCGGCGCACGUCGUCGGGUCGGCGCUCGCCUCCCACCUCGACGAGCCGGAAAGCUGUCCAAACUUGAUCAUUUAGAGGAAGUAAAAGUCGUAGCAGGGUUUCC
rnacentral:rRNA from 1 species